UAAGGAAUAUUGCUCAAUGGGAGAAAUCCUGAAGCAGCAACGCCGCGUGGAGGAUGAAGGGUCUAUGACUUGUAAACUCCUGUAAAGAAGGAAAAAAUUCCCAUUAGAUGGGAGAUGAUGGUACUUCUGGAGUAAGCCCCGGCUAACUACGUGCCAGCAGCCGCGGUAAUACGUAGGGGGCAAGCGUUGUCCGGAUUUACUGGGUGUAAAGGGUGCUCAGGCGGAUUUGUAAGUCAGAGGUGAAAUCUUACAGCUUAACUGUGAAACUGCCUUUGAGACUGCAAGCCUAGAGUAUGGAAGAGAGUGAUGGAAUAUCUGGUGUAGCAGUGAAAUGCGUAGAUAUCAGAUAGCACACCAAUGGCGAAGGCAGUCACUUGGUCCAUUACUGACGCUAAAGCACGAAAGCGUGGGUAGCAAACA
rnacentral:rRNA from 1 species